UAUAAGAUUUUGAGUCUUUUUGUUAUUCUAGAGUCUUUUUAGAGUCUUUUCAGGUAUUCUAUGGAGAGGGACAACAAUGGAGAUAAGGAGACAUUUUGGAGCAAAAGUUAAGGAAAAAGAAGCUAAAGACGAUUUCUCUUUCAGAUCCUGUCAAGAGUGUCGAUCGACACACUCUUGAUGCCGAUCGACACCGGUUUAAGCCUAGAGAAGUCCAUGAUGCUUUUAAGUUUACA
rnacentral:sRNA from 1 species